rnacentral:rRNA from 2 species
UACGGAGGGUGCAAACGUUGCUCGGAAUUAUUGGGCGUAAAGCGCACGUAGGCGGUUCGUUAUGUCGGAUGUGAAAGCCCUCGGCUUAACCGAGGAAGUGCAUCCGAAACUGGCGAGCUUGAGUAUGGAAGAGGGUCUCGGAAUUCCCGGUGUAGAGGUGAAAUUCGUAGAUAUCGGGAGGAACACCAGUGGCGAAGGCGGAGACCUGGGCCAAUACUGACGCUGAGGUGCGAAAGCGUGGGGAGCAAACAGG